rnacentral:rRNA from 1 species
UGGCGGACGGGUGAGUAGCACGUGGAUAACCUACCCCGAGGUGAGGAAUACCGGCGAGAAAUCGCUGACAAGACCGCAUAGGUUUGGGUGACCAAACAAAGCUUGGGAAACCGAGCGCCACGGGAGGGGUCUGCGCCCGAUUAGUUGGUUGGUGGGGUAACGGCUCACCAAGACGACGAUCGGUAGCUGGUCUGAGAGGAUGAUCAGCCACACUGGGAUUGAGAACGGCCCAG